AUAUCUUUCUCGGCCUUUUGGCUAAGAUAAAGUGCAGUAUCUGUUUUUUCACUUUAAUGUUUAAUAUGUGGUUUAUUGGUCCAUAUGAUAUUAACUCAAUUUUUUAAGGGAAAGAGUCCAUUGAGGUAGCCUGGUAUCUGGGCUCUUGCGCGAAGAGUGUUGCCCGGAAUCCGAUGUCAAUUGGUUACCAAC